GGGACCGAGCGCCCGACGUCGCCGGCGCAAGACGGGCACCCAGGCGCGCGCCUGCCUCGCCCCGCCCCCGACGUUCCUUGCGGGACCGCUCAGCGCGCGCCACACACCCGGGCAACCCUCCGCUAGCCGCCUAGCUUCUCUAUUUUUCUCUGGUUGGUUGCCUCUUUUGACCUUCGUUUGUCCUACCAACUCCAAGAAGGCAACUUCUGUAAAAGGCAACAAGGCAUUUCUGUAGAAGUUGGGUGGCACAUUAAUCCCUGGUGUAACUCCAUUGAGGCCUCAGGAGCGUAGGAGAUGCUGUUGUGACAACCCCAGCAGAGUAUGGUACAUAUGCUCUGUACGCGCUCAUGUCUGCAGGCCACUGACUAAAAAGUCUUGUUUUUUUUUGUUUGUUUGUUUUUUUUGCUUUUUUGAAUGAGAAACCUCCUGGGAAUAAAUAAAGAAAAUA